CAGUAGCCGCGGUAACACGAGGGGGGCAAGCGUUGUUCGGAAUUAUUGGGCGUAAAGGGUGCGUAGGCGGUUUGGCAAGUUUGGUGUGAAAUCUUCGGGCUCAACUCGAAGUCUGCAUCGAAAACUGCCGGGCUUGAGUAUGGGAGAGGUGAGUGGAAUUUCCGGUGUAGCGGUGAAAUGCGUAGAUAUCGGAAGGAACACCUGUGGCGAAAGCGGCUCACUGGACCAUAACUGACGCUGAUGCACGAAAGCUAGGGGAGCAAACAGGAUUAGAUACCCGGGUAGUCCCUGUCUCUUAUAA
rnacentral:rRNA from 1 species